UUGAAUACUCUUGAUGGGUUGUAGCUGGCUCUUUGGAGCAUGUGCACGCCUGUCUUGACCUUAUUCAUCCACCUGUGCACUUUUUGUAGUCUUGGGGUUGAGUGCAGUCAACUGUCGGACGGCCAUUAUGGUCUAUCCGGAUGUGAGGAAUGCUGAGUGCGAAAGCAUGCAGCUCUCUUCAAAAUGACUUGCAGAACCUCUCCCUCAAGUACUAUGUAUUUCAUAUACCUAGUAUGUUGUAGAAUGUGAUCAAUGGGCCUUGUGCCUAUAAUAAUCAUAUA
rnacentral:misc_RNA from 1 species